rnacentral:piRNA from 1 species
UGGCUUCCUUUUUGCUUCAUUAUGGAGUC